rnacentral:rRNA from 1 species
CUACGGGAUGCUCCAGUGAGGAAUAUUGCACAAUGGGGGGAACCCUGAUGCAGCAACGCCGCGUGGAGGAUGACGCAUUUCGGUGUGUAAACUCCUUUUAUAUGUCAAGAAAAUGACGGUAGCAUAUGAAUAAGCACCGGCUAACUCCGUGCCAGCAGUCGCGGUAGUACGGAGGGUGCAAGCGUUACUCGGAAUCACUGGGCGUAAAGGACGCGUAGGCGGGUUGGAAAGUCAGGUGUGAAAUCCUACAGCUUAACUGUAGAACUGCACUUGAAACUUCUAAUCUAGAGUAUGGGAGGGGGAGAUGGAAUUAGUGGUGUAGGGGUAAAAUCCGUAGAUAUCACUAGGAAUACCUAAAGCGAAGGCGAUCUCCUGGAACAUUACUGACGCUAAGGCGUGAAAGCGUGGGGAGCAAACAGGAUUAGAUACCCGAGUAGUC